AAGAAGGUGGCUUGGGGCGGGCCGGCGCGUCGCGGAGCGCCCGCGCUGUUUUCAUAGCGCUGCAACGUCCGGCCUCGAAGCCAAAGGAUCGAGUACUGGGCACUAAAGAAGCUGCAAGUUACAUGCUGCUGAAUACCAUACAGAAAUGUAAAAGAAGUGGAAGCAAGUUUAAUGGAUUAUUUUUGUGGAAUGAUUGUGUCUGUUUUAACUGGGACUUUACUACAGAUAAACUGCAUGUUGUUCUUUAUUCUUUGCUAAAGUUUAGCACUGGAAGUAGUUCAUAUGUAGCAAUUGCAAUUUGAAUGUGGCCAUUGUUGUCAAAUAUUGCAAUAUACUUUAAGUUGCAACUUCCAGUCUUUCUCAUUCUUUAAAACAUUCACUUUUAUUAAUUUGCAGUUUUCCAUUCUUGCUUUUUCCUUGAAGUUGGCUUGUUGCUUUCUCAGAAAGUCUGAACAAAGUUUCUUCAUUGUAUUUCUACAUUAGAACACCCGGAGGAAUACAAAUGCAUGGUUUGUAAUUUUGGACUUCAGAUUAAACCAUUUGAAGUAUUUUUACUGUUUAAGCUUAGCACAGCAUGUACUUCCUAUAGAGGUGGGUAGCAUAACUAACCUGUGCUAUUAAACUGCCUUUUAUGUCUUUUGAGCUGCAUGUUCUUGGGAAAGAAAUACAAGUGGUUUGUUGUUGUUUUUUGAGGUGGGGGGAACUGGUUUCCUAAAGAAGACUUGUACGCUCAUCCUAUACAUAUUUGUGUUUCAGUUAACCAAUUUCAGUCAAAUUUGACAGAGGAGAAGAGGUAUUAAGAAAUAAGUUUUCUUUAACCUUGUGCAAGAAAGGGAAUGUUUAGAAGAAAAUAUCUUAUUAAUACCAUAAUUUCAGGAAAAGCUGUAGUAUGAACUCAGUUCUUGCUAGACAUAAGAGCGUCUGCAGGGGGACAAACUGUUCUAUGUAAUCUACCUGCCAGAAGCGCUUUAAUCAUGGCUCAUACUUUAAUCAUAGCUCACACACCAGGCAAUUAAUUCUGCAGCUUGAAUUUUUCUCUGAGGUGGAGUUGCUGGUAGCUAAUACGACUCAAAUUCAAUCUGAUUCUUGCCACAUGGCUAGGGCUCUUAAAACAGGCCUGUGUCUUCUUUCCUUCACUCCCUCUCUUUUCUGAUGUCUAAUAAGCUGUGGGACAUCCUGCAGCUUUUGUCUGCACAAUUUAAAGGCCAAUUGUAAAAUCCCAAAUCGCCAAAAACCAGGCUUGUGCUGUAAAUAUAUACUUCAGAUAUAUAGGCUGUGAAAUUUGGCAGUGCUUUUGGCCUCUACCUCACUUUUAGCAGCUGGCAAUUAAGUGUAGAUUUUUACGUGUAAAAUACAGUGGAGAACUUCCUCAUCAGAGUUUAAAGGAAAGUAUGACCCUCUGUGGAAACAUGAUCCUUUGUUUUAUUUUAAGUUUAUUGUCAGCAGUAGUGACAUAAAUUUAAAUGGAAGCAAAUUAGUGAUUGCUGCUUCAGGAGCUGGACCACUUUAAAACUGGAGGAAAUUAAAGCUAUUGGUUGGAUCCUAGAGGAAAACAUACUGCCUUCUGGAAAGAUUAAGGAGGCUCGUUCUGAUGAUGCGUAAACAAACAACUGCUAAAGUGUCUACCGUUUUAACCAUGGAUGCUGUUAAAGGACAUAUGAGGAAGAAGGAUAGAACAUUACAAGCUGCAAAACUGAACACUUCUCUAGCAUCUAAAAUAAAAACUAAAUUAAUAAAUAACUCAUCUAUUUUUAAAGUAUCUUUAAAACAAAAUAAUAAAGCAUUAGCUCUGGCUUUGAGUGUAGAGAAAGAACAUUCUCGGAAGCUAAAGAAUGAGAAGAUUUUUCUUCAGAAAGAAGUAGAAGAGCUGCAGCUUCAUAAUAUCUUGCUUCGUCGAAAACUAAACUAUUUGAAUAAAACUCUUACAGAAAUAGAAGCUUUUUUGAAUAGUAACCUCUUAACUGCAAUAGAAAUAAGCACUCUUUCUGAGAAUCUUCAGAGUUCUCUUCUCCUGUCAGAGAGAGACAGCAGCUGUACAGACGACCAGGUCAGGAGUAUUUGUAAGUCAGCUAGAUCUCUGGAACUGCCAGUGAAGCUUCCUUUAAUUGCAGCAUCUAAUGCAAAACAGCAGGAUAGCCCUUCUAUGUGUGAAGAACUAAAUUCUUGUACAACUACUACAAUUUUGUCAAAGGAAGUACACUCAGAUCAACUCAGGUUUGCAUUAUCAUUGCCUUCCAAUAAAAAUAAUCAAAAGUCAAAUGAAAUAGACCAGGUGGAAGCAACUGAAGACACAAAUACAUUUUUGAAAGAAAAUCAGUUAGCUACAGAACUAAACUGCAACAAUGUCAUUCUGACUCGUCUUAGUAGUGCACAAUAUCCGAGACAGUCCAAGGAGCUUACAAAACAAUGUACUGAUAGUUCAUUGCCAUUCUGUGGAAAUGUGACUGAAAGGAAGAAACAUGCAAUACAUUAUAGAUCAAAAACUCAACCUAAUAUUAAGAAUUCUGAUAAAAAAUGUAGUUCAAAUAAUCUGCUUCAUUGUGAUAUUAAUGGCAGCAGCAACAGCAAUGAUGUGAACUUGCAGGCAAAAUCCAGUGGCUUGUCUUGCAGUAUUCCUUCACCUCUUCAUUUUAGCAGUGAAAAUAACAUACGUUUUAAGAUGCCUGUGGACAAGAUUAAACCUGAAGAAACUGUUUAUGAUGCUGAUAUGGAAUUGACUGCCAGUAAUGUAGGUGAACUACUCACAGUUACAUCGAAAGAUAAACUACACCAAAAUAAAAAUAGUAAUGCCAAUUCUGAUAAAACACCAGCAAAUUUCAGAAGAGUAAACUAUUCUAAAGAGAAAAUGAAAAGCAAGCCUAAAGUAAGUUCACAUUCAUAUGCAGAAGAAAGGCGCUCUAAGACUGACAGCAGUAUAGAUUCAAAAACUAGUGACUCAGGAACUCAAAUAUUCCAAAAUCAGACAGAACAGCUACCUACAGAGAAUUCCUUAGGUAAAUUGAGUUUAAAAAAUACCAGCAAAUACUAUCAAGAACAGGGUUGCCCAAGUAAAGCUAAAGAUACUAGAAGGACUUACCUGGUUAACCUACUGAGUCCAAGGAAAGAAGUCCAAGGAAAUCAAGAAACUUUCCCAGAAAAGUUUGAAGAUAUGGAAAACAAAAUACAAAAAGCAGACUCUAACUCAUCUAAUAAUGAAAUCUCCCCUGAAGUUUAUUCUGCAGAAAGUUUUCCGUUCCAGGAUAACAUCUCUAAUGCAUUGUCUUUACAGCAGGACUUUCUACAUACAAAUGAGAAACAUAUCAGCCCAGAAAUGAAUAGGAAAGCCUUUCAGAACCCUUCUAAAAAGAAUGCAACAAAAUAUUAUAGAGAGGAAAACGGAUGGUAUAGAGAACAUGGUUCAAAAACGUCUCAAACAGAGAUAUGCCAACAUGACUGGAAGAGCAAAGAAGAACAGAAGAAUGUCGGAAAGAGUAAAUACAACCAAAAAAGUAGUUACAGACAAAGUGGAGACACUGAAAGUGGCAGUAUUCAUAAAACCAUUCAGAAAAUAGACCGAAGGAAUAAUAAUGUUUCACCAGGAAGAUUAAAACAUACAUUAGCAAAAGCUAGCCGGAAAGUAUGUAUAAUACCAACAGAAAACCUUAAGCAAUUUACACUUCGUAGAAAUGAAGGGUUAAAAAAUAAGAAUGCAUUGCACACAGAUGUUGUCCAUGGAAGUAAAAUAGCUAAAACACUGCAAAUACAAGGAGCUUUAGAUUCUGAGAAUUAUGUAGCUAUGAAUACAUUGCAAGCUAGUUCCUCUACAAAAAAGGUUGCUGAUGGCAGUAUUGACAUGUUAAAGAAAGAGGUAGAUUCCUCAUCAAUGGCACAUAAAAAUCCUUUUGUUAUUAAUUCUCCUGAUGAUCAGGUAGAGAACAAAGGGAGCUUUAUUUCUGAUUUUACUGAGAUCAGACCAGAAAAAAAGGAUUUGGGGAAUGCUGACUCAGGGGAGCAGAAUAUUUUGGACAACCAGAAAGUCCUGCCUGAGACAGGUUCCUUUAUGAGCAAGUUAAAGCCAACAGUUCAAAAAUCAGACUUUCUUAAAUUCCUACCUGUAGACUGCUCUGAGAAUACAACAUCAAGCUCAAGUAGCUUUUUCCAGGAAGGUAUUCCCCAUGUGGAGCUCCCAGUUGUUGAUUUUCAUAAUGUUUCAGUGGACUUCUCUGUCCUGAAGAACUCUGAAAUCUAUGGAAAAAAUGAUAAUACAGAAACACUGAGUGCUGAAAUAGCAGAGCAAAAACUGGAUCAUACUUCUACAGAAACUUAUAAAAAGUCUCUGAUACCUUGUUGUGGGAAAAAGGCUUUGCAAGAUCUGACAAAUACUAGUAUGUGUUCUCUCACUUCAUUAUCUAAAUCCCUCCAAAUGUUAGAAGAAAACUCAGCAGUUCGAGCUAGACGAGGAGGAGCCGCUAUUUGCUACAAAGAACCCAAACUAAACUGCAAAUUAAGGCGUGGAGAUCAGUUUACAGAUACAGAUUUUCUGAAUUCCCCUGUUUAUAAAGUAAAAAAUAAAAGAAGCUUUAAAAGUAAAUCAAAAUUUAUUUGAAGAAGACAAGAGAAUUGCCUUUAUGAACACUAUUUUUAAAAUGUGUACUUCGUUUUUUCCCAAAAUGGUAUAUAGACUGCUUACUGUUUUUUGAUUAAUAAAGGUGAAACACAGCAUUCCAAAGUAGAUUUUUCUGGAAAGGAACCUAUAAGUAAGUGACACAGGAUACCUCACUGAGGAGGACAAUACAGGAGCAGAAUUAUUCUCAGUUCUGGCUGGAAAAGACACAAGCAUCCCGAAUUUUGAUAAAUCCACUGAAAAAAGAUGAACAAGUCUCAUUAUUGUUUAAUUAUAAAGUGGAACAAAAUGUGAUAGUUGAUUUUUUUUUCCUUUUUCUUUUUUUUAUUAGAUUUCACAGAAUCAUGUUGAAAUUUGAAUGAGGGGGUGUAUUUUUAUUUUUAUUUUUUUGGAAUAGUAGACAAAUUCUGGUAUUGCCAGAGACAACCAGACAGAAACAGCAGUAUAAUAGAAAUUCAGUAGUAAGUAUGAUCCAGACAAAGCAGUGCUGUGAGUUUCCAGUUGACAGAGUGUUAGUGUGACAAACACUACAACCACAUCCUGUAUCAGACUUGUUAUACUGUUUCUCCUCAGGAGCCUCAUGAAUCCACUGCAUGUCCUCUAAUGCAUUGUCAACAGACACAGUUUUCUGGGAUAAUCUGAAUCACAGUUGUUGCCAACUGCAGACUAUAGCUCACAGUGUACUCAACUUUUACAGAUUAGAUUGGAUAAGGCUCAGGUUCAUUUUGCAGCUGAGUUUGCUAUAGUUCAUUUUAGUUCAUUAUAGCUCAUUCAGAUUAAAAAUAAACUAACUUAUUUGCUUAUAGAAGAUGGCUCUUCACACAAUAUGCAGUUAGGCUGAGAAAUUCCUUGACACAGGAGUAGAUGUUACUAGGUGGCAUGAGCUUCAAAGUUGAUUGGAGAAAUUCAUGGAAGGAAAAUCUAUGAGAAGACACCAUUUCUGGCACAGGAUAUCCCUGAAUUGUAAAUUGUUGAAGGCUGGAAGAGUAUUUCAGGGAAGUCUCGUUCUUUAUGUACAUCCUCCUUUAUGUCAUCCUCCUCCCAUUUACUUCUUUAUGG